GGAUGUGAGGGUGAUCUGGCUGUGACAUCUGUCAUCCCAUUAAUUGCCAGGGUUGAUUCAACUGAUCUGGCUGGCUAGACGGGUGUCCCUUUCCUCCCUCACCAGUCCAUGUGUGUCCCUCCCUAAGCUGCUCUCUGGGUCAAAAAGGGCCCCUUCCCCACUAGAGGAGGACCAUUCUUUGGUCAAGGGUAUAUGAGUAGCUGUGCUCCCCUGCUAGAAUCUCCAAACAAACUCUCAAAAAUACUUGAUGAAAUUUUUAUUGAGAUUGUGUUGAAUCUGUAGAUCAAAUUAAAGAGAUUU
rnacentral:snRNA from 1 species